GACGAACGCUGGCGGCGUGCUUAACACAUGCAAGUCGAACGGAAAGGCCCUGCUUUUGUGGGGUGCUCGAGUGGCGAACGGGUGAGUAACACGUGAGUAACCUGCCCUUGACUUUGGGAUAACUUCAGGAAACUGGGGCUAAUACCGGAUAGGAGCUCCUGCUGCAUGGUGGGGGUUGGAAAGUUUCGGCGGUUGGGGAUGGACUCGCGGCUUAUCAGCUUGUUGGUGGGGUAGUGGCUUACCAAGGCUUUGACGGGUAGCCGGCCUGAGAGGGUGACCGGCCUCAUUGGUACUGAGAUACGGCCCAGACUCCUACGGGAGGCAGUAGUGGGGAAUAUUACACAACGGGCGGAAGCCUGAUGCAGCAGCGCCGCGUGCGGGAUGACGGCCUUCGGGUUGUAAACCGCUUUCGCCUGUAACGAAGCGUGAGUGACGGUAAUGGGUAAAGAAGCACCGGCUAACUACGUG
rnacentral:rRNA from 1 species